AAGGUAGCAGUCCUCUCCGUACAGGCAGGAGCCCGCGCGGGCAGCCCCAGAGCCGCAGCCCCUGGGGCGGGCGGGACCCGCGGGCGUUGGAGCCGAGGUGCGAUGGCCUCGGGUCAGCCGCGUGUCCCUCGGUCGCCGGAACCGGGCCGUUUCCGUCCUCACCGCCCGCCGACCCGCGACGCUGGGCGGGGUUUUCCGGAGCAGAUCAAAGGGUCCUCUCCCGGGUCGGGUCGGAAGGUCCCUCCUUCCAAGUGUCACUAGUCAUCUUAAAGGAUCUGAGGACUCAGCGGAAGUUGGAAACCAGGGACCUGUGAGUGAAAUUUCCCUGGAAAAAAACAAUCAGAAGAUACUGCUCACCUGGACUCUCAUGGCAAAACGUGCUAUUUAGAGUGCACGUCUGACAGCUCUCCGCACCCCCCUACUCUCCGUGACAGCCCUCACACGGGGACAGGGGCUGUUGACUUUGCACUUGCAAUGCCAUUUUUCUUUAGUAGAACAGAUUUCUCUAUACAUCCUUAGCCAUCAAAAGUGAUUUUUCUGCAAUUGACCUAGUGAUUCCUAUUGGCAUUUGAAUUUGCAAACCCUGAUGCCAGGCACCUAGAAUAGCCAAGAGUGUUGCAAUUGGACAGAAAAUUAAUCCAAAUAACUUAAACAAAAACAAAAAGAGGGGUUGGCUGUCUUGUGCAGCUGGAAGAGUAUCUGGGCAGCGACAGAAGUGAUGAAGGGACUGUGGCAAUCAGAGAGAAGGGCCAUGCACCCCUGCCAGGAUUCUCUCUCUAGCUCUUCCAUCUGCUGGUCCCUGCUUGUCUUUGCAUGUUGCCCUCAUUCUCUUUCAGCAGAGGUGCCUUGGUCAUGUGGUGAGGAUCAUGGCCAUUAGAAGCCCCAAUUUAGAAAUUCCUGUAGAAAAAAGAGCUUCCUUUCUCCACUUCUGAAAAAUCAAUCCCAGGAAAGGAUGCCAGCCUCACUUGGGUCAUACACCUUAGAGCGGCAGGAUGUUUUCUUUUUAAAUCCAAUAUGUAAGUAGCUUGUCACUGUUCUCAGUAGGUCACAAAUAUUAACUUACUUAAUCCCUGCUUUUUAAAAAAAAGUUUAUGAGUUAGUCCAAUUACUAUCUCUAUU
rnacentral:lncRNA from 12 species